rnacentral:rRNA from 1 species
GGAGCUACUUUUGGACAGUGGGAAAUCAGCGUCAUCUGGGGUCUGGGGGUAGCGAUGGCUAUCUACCUGACGGCAGGUGUUUCUGGCGCACACCUGAACCCGGCAGUGACCAUCGCACUCUGGCUAUGGCCUGUGAGGGUUGCUGGAGGUAUCAGAAGUGCGAAUGCUGACAUAAGUAACGAUAAAGCGGGUGAAAAGCCCGCUCGCCGGAAGACCAAGGGUUCCUGUCCAACGUUAAUCGGGGCAGGGUGAG